UACGGGGGGGGCAAGCGUUGUUCGGAAUUACUGGGCGUAAAGGGCUCGUAGGUGGCCAACUAAGUCAGACGUGAAAUCCCUCGGCUUAACCGGGGAACUGCGUCUGAUACUGGAUGGCUCGAGUGUGGGAGAGGGAUGCGGAAUUCCAGGUGUAGCGGUGAAAUGCGUAGAUAUCUGGAGGAACACCGGUGGCGAAGGCGGCAUCCUGGACCAUAACUGACACUGAUAAGCGAAAGCCAGGGGAGCAAACGGG
rnacentral:rRNA from 1 species